rnacentral:rRNA from 1 species
AUGUCAGCAUAUUUGAAAAACUCAGCUAGGAAUCUUAGUUUUGAAAGAGCCAUACACCUAUUAUUGCAAGAUAUAUACCGUCAAUGUCAAGAUCCUGAUGUUCUAUAUUGCUGCCACAUGAGAAUAAUAGCAGCAAAAAACGGCAAUGUGGUGGUAUCUUGCGGUGAGAUAUAUUAUUGCUUUUAUUCUGAACAAAUACCAAAUAUGACUGCACUUAAUUUCUUCUUCAGGAAAAGCGUUGUGGAUGCUGAGAUUAUGAAUGCAACUACUACCAACAAUGAAGAGGUGGCAGAUAGGUAA